UACGAAGGGGGGCUAGCGUUGCUCGGAAUUACUGGGCGUAAAGGGCGCGUAGGCGGAUGUCUAAGUUGGGGGUGAAAUCCCGGGGCUCAACCUCGGAACCGCCUUCAAUACUGGAUAUCUUGAGUUCGGGAGAGGUGAGUGGAACUGCGAGUGUAGAGGUGAAAUUCGUAGAUAUUCGCAAGAACACCAGUGGCGAAGGCGGCUCACUGGCCCGAUACUGACGCUGAGGCACGAAAGCGUGGGGAGCAAAGCAGG
rnacentral:rRNA from 1 species